GUAAUUAAAAAAGAACUUCUAGCUCAGCGUUCCUUUCCCUCUUUCUCUCUUAAGGGGCAAGAGGAGGGAAGCGAGGGGGAGAAGGAUGUUUUUUCUCUUUGCCGAGUCCAACAUUUGGCUUUUUCCAUUUGUGGCAGAUCACUGUAACGCUAUUGUAAAACAACUUCCUGCCCCUUUUGGCUCACGUUCCAGAAGCUGCUAGGCUAAGUUCAUAGCACAAACUUUUUUCCCCCUUGCCGAAGAAGAUAGACAAAAAAAAAUUCCUGCAAAUUAUUUUCCCCCUUUUCUGGCUCAUGGACUCACAAGGUGAAUUUAUUGCAGCUCUUUAAGAAUAUUACACAAGAGACGUCGGUAUCCCAGCUGGAUAAUUCAUAAGAUGAAAAGGAGAUCAUAUUGCAACAUUCUCCGAGGGAAGAACCUGGGUGCCACCAUAACAAAUCAACAAAAACUUUCAGGAAUAUGCAAUAAUAUCAGAGUAUGAAUUCUGGCUGUCACCUGCUGGGUGGCUCCAGCAAGAAGAAUUUAUCCAGGCACAAAUCAGGCCAGGAUCCUUCAGACACCCCUGGAAGCAAAGCUCUGAAUGGGAUAAAUCCAGAAAUCACAGGCAAUAUGCCUUCUGCAGUUAAAUGGGAGAAUAUUUAGAAAGAAAAUAGCUUUUCAAGGUGAAUGAGUUUGGCAAGAACUCACUGCAAAGAGAUGGAACCAUAAAUUCCUUUUUGCACAGCACAGGAGACCUUGAGCCCCAAAGGCAGCUGAGUCUUUGGCAGAAUAAGCUUCUUCUACAUUGCAGCAAAAUGAUGCCAACAGCAAGGACCUUGCACUGAGUGUGGUCAGGUGCCACCUUCCAGGAGGACACAUGGUUUGUUUUGGUGAAGAGCAAACAGUUGCCUGAAUAUAUGCUAGACACAAAUUACUGAAACUCUGAUGAUAUGGGCAAAAUGUUGCUAUUUCAAACACUAAGAACAGCAUCUUCUCAAUGGAAUGGUGGUGGCCUUUUGGGGUGAAAUGUUCUUUGCACACUGCUACAACCUGAAACCAGCCCUGCUCAGGGCAAGCUUGACCAAGGCUAACAAAAUUAUUCCAUGAGAAAAACAGUUAAAGUAGUCUAAACAAAAUCUGUAAAGGACUCGAGUAAUAUUUUAAGGCAUUAUUCUGAUAUGGAGAAAGAAAAAUUAAAGUUCCUCCCUACAAAGUGUUUUUUUCAUUCUUGCAUCAUCUCAGCACUUCUGUUUCAACAGAAAUAUACUUACAAAAAUCUGCUAAAAUCACAUUCCGGAAUCCUAAAUGACCUAUGUGGAAGAAAUGUCGUAAAUCAUCAGGAACUGCUGGCUAAUGUGUGAACAUUUUCAAUGAAAAAACCCAACAAAAACAAACAGAAGAACCUGAAUGUGAAAGCAGCUCUUUCAUUUUCCUACAGAAUGCUGGAUUACUUCUGAUAAAACUUGUAAUUUAUAAAAAUCUGUUUCUUUGGAGAAGGUACAACUCACCCAUCUGUACUCUCAUAAUUCAGAAAAAAAUGAACCUGGUAAGUGAUUUAUUGAUGAAAAAGUAGGAAAAUUAGGAGUUAAACCUCCUAUGUUCACAAUGGACACUGUUAAUUUUGAAAGGUGAAAAGGCAAGUGGGAGAAAAAGGAGCUUAGAAGAUGAGAAGGUACUGGAGCUUCCUUCUUAAUGUCAUUUCCAACACUCAGAUGCAGGUAAUCCUCUGUGUAAAAGUCAUAUUAUCCUUAUCUAAACCUUGUAACAGCAGUAUUCAUAUCUUCCAGAACAAGACAUACACUCUUAGAAAGUAAGGGGUAUUGACUGAUACCCAAGUAGAAAAAUAAUGGAAGAAGUGGGAUAAACCCCCAGACAUUCCUCUUUCAAUGGAUUAAAAAAGUCAAAAUCAACCACCCCUAAAUUUAAACCAACCUAUCCAAGUGUCAUUUCCUAGCUUUGGUUUCUUUUUGUCACAACACUGUUACUGAAAGGUGGAUUUUGGUUGAUGAAUUUACUUGUAGCACAGGACUGUAUGACAAGCAAUGCUUCUGCAUUUUGUCGUAUGUCAUUAGUUUCCUCCCCAUAAACCAUUCAGGCUGUCACUCAAAGAUACCUUCCAUGUGGUUUUUUUAGUCUCAAUAGAUUAAGUUUUGAAUUAUUUUAAAAUAAAGAGUGAAAAAUGA